GUGCCAGCCGCCGCGGUAAUACAGAGGGUGCAAGCGUUGUUCGGAAUUAUUGGGCGUAAAGCGCGUGUAGGCGGCAUGGCAAGUCGGGUGUGAAAGCCCUCAGCUCAACUGAGGAAGUGCGCCCGAAACUGCUUUGCUUGAGUGCUGGAGAGGGUCGCGGAAUUCCCCAAGUAGAGGUGAAAUUCGUAGAUAUGGGGAGGAACACCGGUGGCGAAGGCGGCGACCUGGACAGUAACUGACGCUGAGACGCGAAAGCGUGGGUAGCAAACAGGAUUAGAAACCCUCGUAGUCC
rnacentral:rRNA from 1 species